rnacentral:rRNA from 1 species
CAAAACAGAUCAGGCCUCACCCCCGUAGUUCUCCUUCCGUUCUUUCGUUCGUCGCCCUUCCCAACUGCAGCGUCAUCCAGCUUCCCCGACCGCCGCUCUUCCUUGCCGCGUCUUAUCCACGUUGGAAUCGAUCUGAAAAACAAGGACCGCAGAUGAAUCGCAGAUGAAUCUGUCCACUGUGGUUGAUGUAGCCGAGGAGGUGUACCGUACCCUGACUGUUUGAAGGAGAUUGGAUGGCCGUCUCUAGGAACCAACGAUGGAGGUUUGGUAGCAAAGUUGUUUACCUGCUCGACAACAUUCAAUUUGUUUCACUGCUCACCUCUGUAUCUUGAAGAAUUUCCUGAUUUUGAUAAGUUCUACUCAUAUAAUUUAUCUCUAAUACACUGUCCAGAUGGUUGAUGCAAGCUCUGCAAUUUUGUAAGGAAGAUUUGUGGUAUGUGCAUAUCUAAAUAAACUGGGAUGGACUAAUCUCUGUUUAUAAUUUUUAUCACUUUAUUAGACAAAAGGCCCUCAAGCACAUAGUGGGCAGUCAUGUACAGCUGAUAUAGUUGAUGUUUGAUAACAGUUGGUUCAAGGUGUGUGGCCUUUUGCAUUUUUUUCUAACCUGUCUAUUUUCUGAAUUCUGCUGAGCCGGUAAAGACAGUAGAUCGAGAUAUUUCAGUCCCUACAGAUGCUUUGUUAUUUGAGGACUAAGCAUUAAACAUGUUCCAGUUUCUAGUCCAUUACAUGUAGAUUACUUAUUUAUCGAGUUACUGGAAACUGUUUAGGCUUCCAAUUUAUUCUUAGUUAUGUUGUGAUGGGCUGCGCAUGUGAGUUGACAUAGCAAACAACUUAUUUUGAUAAGCCUAAAGCAUGUACAUUUACUUUCUUAAAGCACGUGAAUUGAAACUGUUAAGGCAGACUAUACAAAGUGUUGCCAGCUUAUUAUAAUUUGGUAUACUGUAGAUAUGGCGUGUGUAGUUUUUUUGGUAAAUCUUCCACCAGAAAUGUUAUUUCAGAAGGUUGGUGCUGAGUGCUGACACCCAGUAAGAUCCUGCUAGAUCGGCCCUCUGUCUAGCACAUUACUCGGUGGAUAUGACAGGCAACCUUCAGUUUCAGGGAGAGUACAUUUUUGGCAUGUUGCUAUUCUUAUGAAGAGUAAUCUCCCCUUGCACAUAACUUACAUAGGAUUGUUGGAUCAUCACAAGAUUUCCUUUAUGAGUAGGGACGUAACUUUUAUUACUGUAAUUCAUCUACAGUCAUGCACCGAUCCAUUGGUACACAUAUUAGAUGAAAAAACUGUUAUAGGCUCACUAUAUAUGUGAACAAAUCUGGAGCCUAUGGAAUAUUGAAUGGUAGGGAUUUAUCGUUUCACUUUACAUGACAUAUUGAUCCUUUGUCCCUGCCUUCUAAUUAUUGCGAAAGAAGGCUUCUUUAGCUUUUAGUCAGUGUCUAAUUAAACUAUGAAAAUGUUAAUUCAUUCAAUAUUUUAGACUACUUUUGUGCGUGCUUCAUGUAGGUAUUUGUACCCAGCAAACAACCUAUGACCAAACAAUAUAUAUUUUAUGCUUUAUCUCGAUGGUACUCAGUGAUACAAAUAUGGAAUUGAUGGAUAAGUAUAAUUAAUGGAUGCAUAUUUAUGUACUUUAUGAUGAAUAGAUUGAAUAAAUAGAUGCAUACAUGGACAAUUGGAUUCUCGCUGAAGAAGCCACAUAUGCCUCCCUGUGUCAUCUAGAUCAUCCCUGAAUCAGAGAUCGCACAAACUAUUGAUUUAUCAGCCGAGCUCCCUGAUAAGUAAUGCAGUUUGUUUAGAUUUAAUAUUACAUGCUACCACAGGUUGUUUCCAGCAAGCUGAUUUGCUUUGCUAAUAGUGAAUUAGGCAUCUGCUCAAGUCUUGAAGAUGACUCUGGCACUAAAGUACCUAAUGCAAAGUAUUAGGACAUACAGUAGCUUUUAAGAUAUUCACCAUGAUGCAAAUUUUGUUCUUCGAUCUUCCCUGUCAGUGAACUAAUCGCUACUUGCAGGAAAAGGUGUCGGCCGACAGGGGUAAUAGUGCAUCAAUGAAGGUCAGAACAGGUCUGGGACAUGAUUAGCGGAGUUACAGGUUCGUUCAGGGGCAGACUACGAGAGCUUUGUUAACAUUAAUUGGAUGUUUUCUUGGAAAAAAACUGUGAGGGGUUGCCAUCUGCCAAUGUCACCAAAAGUGCGAGUUCAGGGAGAAUAUUUCUUCUUUCUACUUGAUCAGUAUACCUGCAUGUUGAUAAACCACUCAAUAUUUUUUUGUGUCUCCAGAUUAUAAUAUGGUUGUGUGUGACCAAAGAACUACUGCAAAGCAUACAGGUAUUGUAGCUGAGAGUAAAGAAAAUUGGAAAUACAAUUUCGAGAGGAAAAAGUUGAUAGCUUAGAUGAUACUAAUUCCGCCUUCAGUAUGAUCAUAUUUUUCUAUAAGAUAUGGCCAUACGAUACCAAAUAGCACUCAAUUUUCCCAUGUAUGUUAGAUGAAACACACAAGGAAAAAAAGUUAUGGACUCCCUUGGAGGUGCCUAAUGUGUACUUUUGUUAAGUAGCAAUGCAUGCUUCAGCUUAUAAUCUAUUCAGUGCAUUUGAUGGUCUUAUCCAUAUGUUUAGUUAUUCUACAAUGUCCAAGUUGACAUCAGGGAUCACGCCCUCAUGUUCUUAUAGGAAUAACUUCUUGCUAACAUUUCAAGACAUGACUGUAUUUAGUCUCUCUACAAAUACGCUUGAGUUGAUACCUUUUCUGUCCUCCUGAUUCUGUUUCAUCACGUGAAUCAAAUGUAAGUUGGUUAUGCCUAGCCAUGAGGUACAAAUUUCUUUACUGUUCUCCAUCAUUACUGUUGAAUAAAUUGGCUGGUCAAUGCAAUGCCAGUGGCAGGAAACAUCAGCACCACACUGCAAAUCUUGAAAAAACAAAUGGUGCACAUAUGAUGCUUUGCUAACGGAUGGUGGUAGGACACAAAUGUGGACCAUACAGGUUGAAAACAAGAGAGAUACCAAUAUACUAUGUCAUUGGUCGUAUUUUUCUAUGAGAAAAUCAUUGGUCGUACUAGGAUAGGGCAAUACGUGUAGCAUCACUCAACUAGAGUAGCAGCGAGUCCAUUUAUAAGCUAUUGCUAGGCAAAGUUUACUUCGGGAGGAGUUGACUGUUGGUACACUGUUUUAUACGACAACUUGAAGUUAAGUUGUUUUUCAUGGAGUUAUAAAGAGGCAAUAUUAUCUCUACUCACAUAUUUCAAGUACAUGCACGAUUUUUGUUUCUCCUUCUAACUGAAAAACAACACGUAAUCUUGAUUAAUGUUGAAAAGAACAAAAAAUGUUUCUAAAAUGUUUUCGAUUCACCUAUAUAUUUCUUUGCGUAAUUAGUUAUAUUAAUCUUAGCCCACUCCAUUUCUCUUUCUUGCUGAUAUAUAAUCAAUUUUUCAUAUUUUGUAAAGUGAUGUGGAUCACAUGAUACCUGCUACAUUUCGCUCAAGGGUUGAAGGGAGACAUUUGAAUAUUUGAUCGCACUUCCACUUGAUUUAUGAGAUUGGGAAAAUAAUUAAGUGGCGUCUACUAGAGAUUCUCUUUUAGGUACAUGGAAGAGAUGACACUAAAGGUGUACUCUUAUAUGUGAAAAUUGUGCACGUUUAUAUUUUAUAUGAUGUUCAGUGUGUACGAUCAUCCAACAAUUCCACUUGGACAAUUCCUAAUGAGUAUAUAAAGAAAUAAUGUGUUUCUCUUUUUUUUUGAGCGUAAAGAAAUAAUGUGUUUCUCAACAUAACAGCAUGGCAGAAACUCAUGGACUCAAGUUUAUUUAGUUGCUUGACAGUAUGGCAUGGUAUAAACAUCAUGCUGCUCUCUGUGGUUCAACAAUUGUA